CCAAUUCAGGUUCAUACCUCAAUUCAGAAUUAAAAGUAUAAAUACACUCCUCCACCACCGAAUCCUCCGCGUCUCUCUUCUCGGUCGGUCGGAGCUCUACGCCAGUUAAGAGGAGAAGUGUGAUCGGAGAGUGAAAUCCACCACCUGACGACCGUUCCUUCCACAUCAUCCUCAGAGAAUCAUAAUGUGUCUUAGCAAGUGAUUUGCUCAGAUACGCGAUGGGUAUUCUUUUCUACAUCAAUACUGCGCCAAUGUUGGCAUCUAUUCUUUUCUACAUCAAUACUGCGCCAAUGCUGACAUUUAUUUGUACUUUGAGAUCAAUUGUAAAAUCAGGUAAUACUAAUACCAGAGUGGUGGUUAGAGCCUUUUUCAAGUUUUAAAUGUCUUCUCUGCAUCUUCAGUCCAUUUAAACAUACCAUUCUUGAGUAAAACCAUGUAAUGGUUUGU